rnacentral:rRNA from 1 species
UUUUACUUUACAAGGGAAAUGGUAAUGUACCUUAGGCAAAGGGUUGCUUUUAAUAUUCAUCAAGUUUGACCUCAAAUCAGGUAGGAUUACCCGCUGAACUUAAGCAUAUCAAUAAGCGGAGGAAAAGAAACCAACUGGGAUUACCUUAGUAACGGCGAGUGAAGCGGUAAAAGCUCAAAUUUGAAAUCUGGUACUUUCAGUGCCCGAGUUGUAAUUUGUAGAAUUUGUCUUUGAUUAGGUCCUGUCUAUGUUCCUUGGAACAGGACGUCAUAGAGGGUGAGAAUCCCGUUUGGCGAGGAUACCUUUUCUCUGUAAGACUUUUUCGAAGAGUCGAGUUGUUUGGGAAUGCAGCUCAAAGUGGGUGGUAAAUUCCAUCUAAAGCUAAAUAUUGGCGAGAGACCGAUAGCGAACAAGUACAGUGAUGGAAAGAUGAAAAGAACUUUGAAAAGAGAGUGAAAAAGUACGUGAAAUUGUUGAAAGGGAAGGGCAUUUGAUCAGACAUGGUGUUUUUUGCAUGCACUCGCCUCUCGUGGGCUUGGGCCUCUCAAAAAUUUCACUGGGCCAACAUCAAUUCUGGCAGUAGGAUAAAUCAUUAAGAAUGUAGCUACCUCGGUAGUGUUAUAGCUUAUUGGAAUACUGCUAGCUGGGAUUGAGGACUGC